UACGUAGGUGGCUAGCGUUGUCCGGAUUUACUGGGCGUAAAGAGCGCGCAGGCGGUCGUUCAAGUCGAGUGUGAAAGCCCCCGGCUCAACUGGGGAGGGUCACUCGAUACUGAUCGACUCGAAGGCAGGAGAGGGAAGCGGAAUUCCCGGUGUAGUGGUGAAAUGCGUAGAUAUCGGGAGGAACACCAGUGGCGAAGGCGACUACCUGGCCUGUUUCUUGACGCUGAGGCGCGAAAGCUAGGGGAGCAAACGGGG
rnacentral:rRNA from 1 species